AUUGAACGCUGGCGGCAGGCCUAACACAUGCAAGUCGAGCGAGCGGCGGACGGGUGAGUAAUGUAUGGGGACUGCCCGAUAGAGGGGGAUAACUACUGGAAACGGUAGCUAAUACCGCAUACAAUCGGAUAACCCAUAGGGGAUUAGCUAGUAGGUGGGGUAAUGGCCCACCUAGGCGACGAUCCCUAGCUGGUCUGAGAGGAUGAUCAGCCACACGGGGACUGAGACACGGCCCAGACUCCUACGGAGGCAGCAGUGGGGAAUAUUGCACAAUGGGCGCAAGCCUGAUGCAGCCAUGCCGCGUGUGUGAAGAAGGUCUUCGGAUUGUAAAGCACUUUAAGUUGGGAGGCGUUACCAACAGAAUAAGCACCGGCUAACUUCGUGCCAGCAGCCGCGGUAAUUC
rnacentral:rRNA from 1 species